AUCAACGUUUCAGCUCCACUAGGGAGCUUUCAUCAGGACCUGAUGAAAGCUCCUUAGUGGAGCUGAAACGUUGAU